CAGAGAAUAGUUUAAUAAAAUAUUAAUUUUGGAGAUUAAUGAUAGAAAUUAAGAUUUCUUUCUCUGA
rnacentral:tRNA from 1 species